GGAUCCAGACUUUGAUCAUGGCUCAGGAUGAACGCUGGCUACAGGCUUAACACAUGCAAGUCGAGGGGCAGCGGGAUUGAAGCUUGCUUCAAUUGCCGGCGACCGGCGCACGGGUGAGUAACGCGUAUCCAACCUUCCGUACACUCAGGGAUAGCCUUUCGAAAGAAAGAUUAAUACCUGAUGGUAUGAUGAGAUUGCAUGAUAGCAUCAUUAAAGAUUUAUCGGUGUACGAUGGGGAUGCGUUCCAUUAGGUAGUAGGCGGGGUAACGGCCCACCUAGCCAACGAUGGAUAGGGGUUCUGAGAGGAAGGUCCCCCACAUUGGAACUGAGACACGGUCCAAACUCCUACGGGAGGCAGCAGUGAGGAAUAUUGGUCAAUGGACGAGAGUCUGAACCAGCCAAGUAGCGUGAAGGAUGAAGGUCCUACGGAUUGUAAACUUCUUUUAUAAGGGAAUAAACCCUCCCACGUGUGGGAGCUUGUAUGUACCUUAUGAAUAAGCAUCGGCUAACUCCGUGCCAGCAGCCGCGGUAAUACGGAGGAUGCGAGCGUUAUCCGGAUUUAUUGGGUUUAAAGGGAGCGCAGACGGGUCGUUAAGUCAGCUGUGAAAGUUUGGGGCUCAACCUUAAAAUUGCAGUUGAUACUGGCGUCCUUGAGUGCGGUUGAGGUGUGCGGAAUUCGUGGUGUAGCGGUGAAAUGCUUAGAUAUCACGAAGAACUCCGAUUGCGAAGGCAGCACACUAAUCCGUAACUGACGUUCAUGCUCGAAAGUGUGGGUAUCAAACAGGAUUAGAUACCCUGGUAGUCCACACGGUAAACGAUGGAUACUCGCUGUUGGCGAUAUACUGUCAGCGGCUUAGCGAAAGCGUUAAGUAUCCCACCUGGGGAGUACGCUGGCAACGGUGCAACUCAAAUGAAUUGACGG
rnacentral:rRNA from 1 species